UUCCCCUCUGCAUUGCAGCUGGAGAGUGUCCAGUACUUUGCCAGUCUCAGCUAUGGGAGGGAGAGUCAAGCAGAGGCAUACCUAUUCCAUUCCUAGCUUGGGAAGUGGCUAGCAGGUGGAAGGCAAUCUGCUGCAAGU